CUCCCUCCCUCCGUCUCUCUUUUUGUUUCUCUCUUUAUCCAUCUCUCUCUCACUCUCUCUCUCUCUCUCUCUCUCUCUCUCUCCAUCUAUCUCUCUCCCUCACUUUCUUUCUCUAAACAGGUCUAAUCACAAGGAACAAGAGGAACUCUGCCACUGGCGAGCAGGUGAAAGAGAAGAUAUCUGGUAUCACGGCGUCUCUCAGAGCGUCUGCGUUCUGAUUGGUAGCAGCUGCACUGCACUAAGCGCUGUGAUUAAUGACUCCUGGAGUGACGCGAACCCCCACGUCCUGCUUUAAUGAAUAUCUCUGUGAGCAGACUAAGCGAGCUUUCCACAGCCACCAGGAGAUCCCGAGUCCUCCAUCCAAUCCAGCAGGUUUGAGGAUGAGUCCAUAUAUGGAAAUAAGGGAAAAUGUGGAAACUCUGUCUAAGAAUGGAAAAAUUUCACACUUCCUGCAGUCCAGAUGAUUCGGGUUCAAGCCGCGACUGCAAGCAAGGGACU